CCUGCCCACAGGGCCAGGCCGCCUCUAGCCCCACUACUCGAGACCCUGCCCAGAGGUAAGGGAGGCAGGGUGGGGGAGCCCUGGCCACCUUGCCCGCCAUGCCCUGAGCCACAUCCCUCCCCCUGCAGGGUGGUGCUGGUGUUGCGGGAACGCUGGCAUUUCUGCCGGGACGGCAGGGUGCUGCUGGGCUCGAGAGCCCUGAGGGAGCGGCACCUAGGCCUGAUGGGCUACCAGCUCCUGCCGGUGAGUGGCCCUGGCCUGGCCCGUGGCGUAUCCUCACUCCGGGCCUGCGGGUAACCUGCCGCCAUCUCCUCUCCCCACAGCUACCCUUCGAGGAACUGGAGUCCCAGAGAGGCCUGCCCCAGCUCAAGAGCUACCUGAGGCAGAAGCUCCAGGCCCUGGGCCUGCGCUGGGGGCCUGAAGGGGGCUGAGGGGAUGAUGUGGGGUUCAGGAUGGCCCCCCCAUGGGGGGUGGAUGAUUUGCACUUUGGUUCCCUAUGUUUUGAUUUCUCAUUAAAGUUCCUUUCCUUC
rnacentral:sRNA from 1 species